rfam:Paramesorhizobium deserti strain A-3-E Scaffold2, whole genome shotgun sequence.
GAAUAUCGCAAGAGCCUCUCCUCCUCCCGAGGCUUGAGCGAUCAAAGGCUGACACUCCUCCUCCCGGUCAGCCUUUACCUAACGACACCCGCCGCUCCUCCUCCCGCGGCGGGUGUUGUUU